UAUCUAAUUAUACCCCCACCACAAAAUGUGGGGGGGGCUAUAAUGGAUUCGCUUUGUCGCGUCGGUCGGUCGGUCAGUCGGUCGGUCGGUCCGUCCGUCUCCAUUUUCGUGUCCGCUCUAUAACUCCUAUACCACUUGAAGGAUUUUCUUCAAACUUGGCUCAAAUGUUCACCUCAGCAAGGGGAUGUGCAGAACCCAUGUUGCCCAUGUGUCAGCUCAAGGUCAAGGUCACAAUUGAAGGUCAAAUAUCAAACACAAUCAUAUAUUAGACAGUAUGUCGUGUCCGCUCUGUAGGUCCUACAAUAAUUGAAAGAUUUUCUUCAAACUUGGCUAAAAUGUUCACCUCAACAAGGGGAUGUGCAGAACUCAUGUUGCCCAUGUGUCAUUUUAAGGUCAAGGUCACAAUUGAAGGUCAAAUAUCAAACAAUCAAAUUUAACACAAUAUGUCGUGUCCGCUCUGUAAGUCCUACACUUAUUGAAAGAUUUUCUUCAAACUUGGCUCAAAUGUUCAUUUCAACGAUGGGAUGUGCAGAACCCAUGUUGCCCAUGUGUCAGCUCAAGGUCAAGGUCACAAUUGAAGGUCAAAUAUCAAACAAUCAAAUAUUACACAGUAUGUUGUGUCCGCUCUGUAAGUCCUACACUUAUUGAAAGAUUUUCUUCAAACUUGGCUCAAAUGUUCACCUCAACAAGGUUAUGUGCAGAACCCAUGUCACUCUUUUGCCGGCUUAAGGUCAAGGUCACACUUGAAGGUCAAAAAUUGACUUAGAAAAUGUUCUUUAAUUUUAAACAUAUAUCUGAAUAUUUCUGAAUCUAGGAAAGGUAUUUGCUUGAAACUUAAAAUAUAAACGAAGUGUCACAAUUAAGAUAUGCUGGUCAAGUUUCAUAACUCUGUAUUGCAUUUUAACAAAGUUAUGCCCCUUUUUAAUCUUCAAAUAUACAUACAAUCACAUAUUAGACAAUAUGUUGUGUCCGCUCUAUAAAUCCUAUAGUAAUGGAAGAAUUUUCUUCAACCUUUUCUCAAAUGUUCACUUAAACAAGUUAUGUGCAGAAUCCAUGUCACCUUUGUGCAGGCUAAAGGUCAAGGUCAGACUUGAAGGUCAAAAAUUGACUUAGAAAAUGUUCUUAGAUUAAAACAUGUUCUUGAAUAUUUUCGGAAACUAGCAUAGGUAUUUGCUUGAAACUUAAAAGAUAUAUGAGGGUCACAAUUACGAUAUGCAGGUCAAGUUUCAUAACUCUGUAUUGGAUUUUGACAAAGUUAUGCCCCUUUUUAAGUCUUUAAAUUUACAUACAAUCAAUACUAGACAAUAUGUUGUGUCCGCUCUAUAAAUUCUAUACUAAUGGAAGGAUUUUCUUCAAACUUUACUCAAAUGUUCACUCCAAUUGGGCGAUGUGCAGAACCCAUCUUACCCUAGUGCCAGCUGAAGGUCAAGGCCACACUUGAAGGUCAAAAAUUGACUUAUAAAAAGUUUAGUAUAUUGGGAAAAUGAAAGGUUAUUUGUAACUGUUUCAAACAUGAUUUGAUAAUAGAUAUUUUUACUAUUACCUGUACAAUUAUGUCUUUUUUUCACCAGAGAUAAUUUCUUUUUAUGUAUUUGUGUCACUUAAGUUAUUCCCUUAACCACCUUUCCAAGUUGUCUUCUGUCAAGGACAUUGGUGGGGGUAUGAAUCGCAUUCAGCGAUAGUUCUAGUUAUGUUUUAACAUGAUUCUGUAUUUAAUAUAUAUUUAUAAUGUCAAAGAUUUAUAACACGCUGGGCUUUUUUUUUUGAUUGCCAGAAGCUUGUUGAUGUUAUACCUGCUUUUGUCUUUUCAAUAGGAAUAGUAUCAAAUUUGUAAUCCAGGGGUCACUGAGAGCAUCGAAUUUGUAAUCCAUUUAGGGCCGCGGGUUCAAUCAACAAGCAAGAUGUAGCUUUCCUUGACAAUCGAUCACUGACAUUUAGUCUUAUAGUCAUUUGUCUCUCAUCAAUCAUAUGGGAUUAGUAUUUGGUCACUUGCGUAGAAAUUGGUUAUUACUGGUUAGUUGUCCACAAAAGCCAAUAAGGUCGAUUGACCGCUAAAGUAUGACCGAAAACACGAGUUAAAAUUGUUGUAAAAAUCCAGAAAAACAAACAUGAAGUCAUUUAAGGCAGUGGCUUGGAAUACUUCUGGUGCAAAUCUUUGAAGUGCCCUUGAUCACAUGUUUUGCUAUGUUUGGUUGCAGAAAAUUGGGUCUUCAGUUACUAUCAGGUAUUUCAAUCUAAAUAUUUCCCUGAACUUUUUGGACAACCUUUUUGCAGCAGGAUAGUGAGUUUGUGUGAGAAUAGGUGAUUUGUGUUUAAGUAGUCAUUUUUCUCAAACUUUUAAUUAUAAAAGCCAAAAUCUUGUCCAGAAAUCCAUUUCCAUCCUCUUCAGUACAAAAAUAUCAUUAUAUCACUAUUUUUUUUAAACUUUUCUGUACUUAAAGAAUGUAGUUUGGAUAAAAGUUGUAUGUUUUUCCCUAUUUGGGAAAAAGUAAUUGUUUUUCCCACUCACCUGUCUGUCCCAAUUAGUUUCUUGUUUGAUGUAUACCAAAAUUAAGAUAUGAUGUAUACCAAAUCAUGGCUGUAUAUGAUAUACCAAAUAAGAUCCUUGUUAGAUAUGAGUUAAAUUAGUUGCCAUUUGGUAUACCAAAUUAGGCCCUUGUUAGAUAUGAGUUAAAUUAGUUGCCAUCUGGUAUACCAAAUAAGAUCCUUGUUAGAUAUGAGUUAAAUUAGUUGCCAUUUGGUAUACCAAAUUAGGCCCUUGUAUCAUAUACAAACUAAGAUCUUUAAAUGAUAUACCAAAUUAGGUUUUUGAAUGAUAUACCAACUAAGAUCUUUAAAUGAUAUACUAAAUUAGGUUUUUGCAUGAUUUGAAUGAUAUACCAAAAUUUUUGUGUUAGAUCUUUGUAUAGUAUGCCAAAUCAGGACUCUGUCUGGUAAAUUUGAUUAUGAAUAUAAUUAGGACUUUGUAUGGCAUACCAAAUUAGGUCUUUGUAUGGUACACUGAAUUAGGACUUUGUAUGGUAUACUAAAUACAACUUUAAUCAGGACUUUAUAUCGUAUACUAAAUUAGGACUUUGUAUGGCAUACCAAAUUAGGACUUUGUAUGGUAUACUAAAUACAACUUUAAUUAGGACUUUAAAUGGCAUAACAAAUUAGGUCUUAAUAAGAUAUAUUGAAUACGGCAAUUGUAAAUAUGAAUAACUAACUUUUGUUUAAAUUUGUUAAUUAGUGUAUUUUAUGAUAUAUCAAAAUUUUGUUAUUGUAUGGUAUACAAAGGAUAUAACUUAACUAAAAGUUAUUAUUUGUUUUGUUAAGCUCAAUUCAUUUUAUUUUUUUUGAAAUAAACCUAUUUCUUGGGGAAAAAAGCUAUCACGUAAAAAAGGAAAUAGCUAUUGUAGAAUUUAUAUUAUAGAAUUUAUAUUUAUAUUGCAGUUUUAUAAAAGAUUUUAUAAUUAUUAUUAUUAUUAUAAUUAUUUUACACUGUUUUUAAGAAGGAUUUUUUAUAGAAAUAAAUGUACAUGUAUAGUUUAAGUUAUGAUGUCAAUGAACUUGUGAGUUAACUAAUUUAUAUAUUCAAAUUAAUUAUCUAAUGCCAUAUUCUUUUUAAGUUUCUUUUUUUUUUAUAAAAGGUGAUAAUGUCGAGAUUUAAACCAUGAAAAUCUGAGAUGUAAUUGUUUCAUGAAUGACAUAAUUAUUGUUACCACUUUUAUUUAUAUGUUGCCACAUUUUACACUUUUUGGAAACUUUGAUAGGAAUCAAAAAAAAAUGAAAGCUUUUGAAAAAUAAAAACAGUUAAUGGGGGGAAUAAUGGGCCUUUAAAGAAAAAAAAAACAGCAUAACUUGUCAAAUGUCAUGCCAUGUUAAAAACUUACCUUAUUUUCACAUAUCAUACUUCUACAAGAUUUAGUUUUGUUUCAUGCCAUGUGAAAAUUGAUUAAGGCUCAUGUAUCAGUUUUAAAGAUAACAUUUCACAUUUCAUGCCAUGUGAAAAUUGAUUGAGGCUCUUGUAUAACAUUUCACAUUUCAUGCCAUGUGAAAAUUUAGAUUAAAAUUUAUGAAAGGUAACAUUUUACUUUUUGUGCCAUAUGAGCAUUGUUUAAAGAACCUGUAACUCAUUUUUUAUGGUUUUAUAUCAUACGUAUAAUGCUCCAAUAAAGAUUAUCAAUAUUGUAAGUUCCUAAGUUCUUAUAUAGCAAGAUAUUACUGAAUUUACGUUUCAUUUUAAUAUAGGGAGGUAAUUAGAAAUUUAUUUUUAGUCUAAGUUUUCAAUAGAAAAUGAAUGCAUAUAUUUUAAUGAUUACAUAUAAUGUGGACAAAUAUUUGCAGUACACAUUUUACAUAUCCUUCGAUGUUUGAAAAUUGUUUUAGAAGCAUAAUUAUAUACAUAUAUAAAAUUUCACAUAAGUGUGGUAACAACCUUAAUUACAACAUACAGGAAUCUUUAAGGUUCAUAUAUCAAAUUUAAAAGAUAAAGUUUCAUAUUUCUUGCCAUGUGAAAAUUGAUUUAGGUUCAUGUAUCAGGUUUAAAGAUACCGUAUUGGAUAUCAUGCCAUAUGAACAUUGUAUCAAGUUUAAAGAUAACAUUUCCCAUUCUUGCUAUCGGAAAAUUGAUUAAAUUUCAGAUAUGAUAUCAGGUUUAUGAAGAGUGGUUUAAAUUUCAUGCCAUGUGAACUUUAAUCUAGGUUCAAAUAUCAAAUUCAAAGAUAAAACUUGACAUUUCAUGUCAUGUGUUAAAAAAUGAAAUAUCACACCAGGUUUAAAGAUAAUUUUGGUAGGUUUCAAGUACCACAUAAUGUGUUUAAUAGAAAAUACCAUGUGUUCAUUGAAAAAAGACUGUUAUACUCUUAACCGUUCUUAUUUUAGAUAUGUGAUAAACAGAAUUUCAUAUUUGUGUAGAUUUAAUACUAAAUUUAUUGAACUUGUUAAAUAAAACAAUAUUAUGCUCCCUAGAGGCUCUCAUAUGAUUUUAUCCAACUCGUUCAAUAAAUUCAGUAUUAAACCUACACUCAUUCAAUAUCCUCUAUUUUCAUUAUUAUCAACAGUUAAUUUGAAGCAAAAUUUCUGCAUUUAUUAUUUCAUUCAACAUUAUUUCACCCAUUUACUCUCUUACACUCAGGUGGGGAAAAAAAGUCAUAAAAAUUUCAGGUAAUGAAAGGACUGUCUGCAAUAUAUGUAGAUUUAUGUUAAUUUAUUAACAUGUUGAGUGCUAGAGUUUUUAUUUAGUUACCUUGACUAACAGUAUAGAGCCUUUGCCAACAGUAUAAAGUGUUUACCACAAGUAAUAUUAUAGUGUUUAAUACUGGUAUUGAGUGUUUUACACUGGUAUUGAGUGUUUUACACUGAUAUAAAGUCUUUUACACUAUUGUAAAGUGUUUUACAAUGGUAUAGUUUACACCAUUUGUUUAAACGCUGGUAAAGAGUUUUAAACACUAGUAUAGAGCGUUUAAACACUGCUAUAUAGUUUUUAACACUAUUGUAAAGUGCAUGCAUCAGUGCUUUAUACUAUGAAUGAAAACAAACAGGGGUUGCCUCUAGAAUGGGGCAGUUGGCUGUAUCAAUUCAUAACCCUGUAAAUUACAACUAAUUCUGACAGUAAAUAAACCUUAAGAAAAAUAUAAUUUGUCAGUUUCUUUUGUCAGUAUGUUCUGUUAAUGUUACACAAAUUUGCCGGGAUUUGCAAAUUUCUGUGUGACAAUUGUUCUUUAAGUUUAAUUGUCAUGUCUCAGCCCUGACUAAGAAAUCACGUUGGAUUGGUAAAGAAGUUGUAAUUAACUGGUUAUGUGCCCAGCUAGCCUGGGCUAGUGAGUGGCCUGUCCUCCAUGCUAUGACCAAAAAUGUGUUAAAAUUGGUAAAAAUCAAAACAUACCAACCAAACAAUAAAAGAUACAGGUUCAGAUUACUAGCUAGUCAUGUCUGGUAUUAUUUGUGAACUACUGUCAUUAUUUUUCUACUGAAUCUUUUAAAGGGACUCCACUGAGGUGAAUCUUUUAAAGGGACUCCAUAGAGGUGAAUCUUUUAAAGGGAGUCCACCAAGGUGAAUCUUUUAAAGGGACUCCACAGAGGUGAAUCUUUUAAAGGGACUCCACAGAGGUGAAUCUUUUAAAGGGACUCCACAGAGGUGAAUCUUUUAAAGGGACUCCACUGAGGUGAAUCUUUUAAAGGGACUCCAUCAAGGUGAAUCUUCUAAAGGGACUCCACUGAAGUUUUUAUAACGUGAAGGCAAUGGAAAUAUUUUUUUAAGCUUUGUAUAUCAAUUUUAUGUAGAUCUGGACUCAUAACUUUUGUGCAAACUUUCGGGUCAUUCCCUUAUUCCAAAAUUUUAAUGUAAAUAAAAUAAUCAUUUUAACUGUGCAAAAUGACCCUAAAACAUUAAGACACUUUUCCACUCAAAUCAGACUUGGAGUUGCACAAACCGGUACACUUUUAAUUUUAUUCCGAGUAUAAUUUAGCACCUUUUUUAAUGGUUUGAAGUAUUUCCUUAUAUGAAUUACAAUUGUAAGAGUUAUGAAUCAAAAGACAUGUGUUUUUUUCUUGAUAUUUUUUACUUUUAUCAUUUUAGUCAUAUCAUUUUGUAUGUAUUAUUGCCACUUUGCUCACUGUUAUAUUUUUGUUUGUAAAUGUUAACCGUAUAUCAUCUAAUGAAUGCCCAAGGGUCUUACAUCUUCCUAAAGGGAUUUAAUUAAAGAUAUACUAUGCUCAUCAUUGAGUAAAAUAUUUUAAUCACAGAUAUUUAUUGAAAUCUUUGAAAUUCUUACUGAGUAUGUCUGAUUUGAAUAAAAGAAUGAAUAAAGUUUGUAUGGGAAGCUGCGUUCCCUUUUACAUGCCAAGUAAAGUUGGUAUUUUCUUAAAAAUCUGCCAGUUUUUUUUAAUUACACUAUAUAUUAUAUUGUGACCAUCUAUAGUGUAGAAUUUUAAACAUGAUAUAUCAACUUUGUGUGGAGUCAAAACAUAUUUAUUAAAUAUUUUUAAAGAGACUGUAUCAAUUAUCAGUAUUUUCUAUUAUCAAAUUUGGCCAUUGU